ACCUCUAGUGUGCCAGUUGUUGUGCCAACGGCACUGCUGGGUAGCCAUGUCUGGAUGGGAUAAGCGCUGAAAGCAUCUAAGUGCGAAGCCCACCCCAAGAUGAGAUCUCCCACCGGUUUAACCGGGUAAGACCGCAAGAAGAUAACUUGCUUGAUAGGCGGCAUGUGUAAGCAGGGUAACCUGUUCAGCUGAGCCGUACUAAUGGUCGAGGUCUUUGACCUACA
rnacentral:rRNA from 1 species